rnacentral:rRNA from 1 species
GAUGAACGCUGGCGGCGUGCCUAAUACAUGCAAGUCGAGCGAACGGACGAGAAGCUUGCUUCUCUGAUGUUAGCGGCGGACGGGUGAGUAACACGUGGAUAACCUACCUAUAAGACUGGGAUAACUUCGGGAAACCGGAGCUAAUACCGGAUAAUAUUUUGAACCGCAUGGUUAAAAAGUGAAAGACGGUCUUGCUGUAACUUAUAGAUGGAUCGGCGCUGCAUUAGCUAGUUGGUAAGGUAACGGCUUACCAAGGCAACGAUGCAUAGCCGACCUGAGAGGGUGAUCGGCCACACUGGAACUGAGACACGGUCCAGACUCCUACGGGAGGCAGCAGUAGGGAAUCUUCCGCAAUGGGCGAAAGCCUGACGGAGCAACGCCGCGUGAGUGAUGAAGGUCUUCGGAUCGUAAAACUCUGUUAUUAGGGAAGAACAUAUGUGUAAGUAACUGUGCACAUCUUGACGGUACCUAAUCAGAAAGCCACGGCUAACUACGUG